rnacentral:rRNA from 1 species
UACGGAGGGUGCAAGCGUUGUCCGGAAUCAUUGGGCGUAAAGCGCGUGUAGGCGGUCCGGUAAGUCCGCUGUGAAAGUCGAGGGCUCAACCCUCGAAUGCCGGUGGAUACUGCCGGGCUAGAGUCCGGAAGAGGCGAGUGGAACUCCUGGUGUAGCGGUGAAAUGCGCAGAUAUCAGGAGGAACACCAAUGGCGAAGGCAGCUCACUGGGACGAUACUGACGCUGAGACGCGAAAGCGUGGGGAGCAAACAGG